AGGAAAGAAUAAUCAACAGUUAAGUGAGGGGGUAGUGGGGUAAUGAGUCUGUGUCGUAUUGUUGUGUCAUUAAUAAGAGUCUCGUUGCUUAUCAGGGCACCCAACACGUGGGAGAACAAAGACGGAUGGCCAGCCGCUGGGUUACACAGUCGAUAUCUUUCACAUCUCAUAUUGCCUCCCAUUAAAUCCCUCAUUGAACGCCAAGCUUUGCAUGAUGGGUAAUCAGGAGUCGGGCGCGCUGGGCUGAUAAGCCGUUAAACCAGACAGUAUUAAAUGGCACCAUUAUGUGCCAGGCUAGUUGUAGUCAAUUAGGUUGAAACUGUAAAAAUAAAUGAAAUAAACGUGAAUGACUAGGAAACGUGAAAUGUGAACUAACAACAACUCUGAUCUUGCUAAUGCAGACCCUGCGGCUAAUGUUAGCACACUAAGCUAUAACGUUACUAAAGAACCAGCUAUUUUUACUCUACUCUAAAGAACACAAGGAGCUGGCUUUUUCAGUAGUUUUCUGUACAAUUUUACACUUGUGUAUAUUUUUUUUAUGUUUCAGCAUUUACUGAUGUUCGUCAUGAUAUUCAAUCAGGCAGUAUGAGGGCCACCCUAUGGGUGUCAUGUGGGUCCUUUGAGAUAUAAGUAGCUUUAGUAUCGUUAGCAUUUUUUAACAACAAUUCCUACUUUAAUAUCACUUCCCUGUGAAAUAAUUACACCGUGCUUCAGACAGAUACAAUAAGUCUUUUAAGAGCCAUCACUUGAUCGUUUUUUUUUGUGUGUGCGUGUUGCAAGCAAAAGUUUAAUAGUUUGACGUUUUAGUCAAUGAGGUUGAAACUGUAAAAUGAAUGACACAUAUGAAGUUCAAGGAGCCAUCGAGUGUGCACUAACAACACCUGCAAACAUUUUUUUCCAUAUUACAGAUGAGUACCGCAGGAUUUAUUACACUUUAUAUGUGUGUGCAAGCAGGCGUGUAAGCAUUAUUCCUUGCCUGGCGGGAAAUGGCCUCAGAUAGCAGAAUUUAGAAAAAGCUAAGAGUUUUCCAUCUCUGCCGUGUGUCAUUGGCGUCUCCAAACAGAACCAAUUGCGCGUCUUGGGCAAUUUCUGAUGACAUUCAUGACUUUUUUUUUUUUUUCGUGUUCUGCCGGGGUAUUUUGCAUGGACCGCUGGAGACCACAAAGGAAAGCACAAACAAACACAGGGGCGGCAGCAGGUAAAUUGCCUGCAAUGGAAAUCAGCUGGUCUUGAUGUGACCACGUCGACGGACGCGAUGAGAUGAAGCAAAACUCCUCAGACACGGUGAACAAAAGGCAAGUGGCCAGAGGGGAACCUGAGGCUGUGCAAGGAAUCGAGUGAAACCUCCAUUCACCACGGGCGAUACGUUUAUGACCAGCUGCGAUAUUGUGAGACCGUCAGAAUAUUUUUUUAAAAGGAUACAGUAAUUCUCCCCUCCAUUGUGAGAGUUAUGGAAUUUCAGGAAUUAAAAACAGUUGAUAAAAAGAAA